rnacentral:miRNA from 1 species
CCCUGAGACCUUAAUCUGUGG